rnacentral:rRNA from 1 species
AACGCGAAGAACCUUACCAGUCCUUGACAUGUGGAGUAUGGAUUAUCGAGAGAUAGUCCUUCGGUUCGGCCGGCUCCAACACAGGUGCUGCAUGGCUGUCGUCAGCUCGUGUCGUGAGAUGUUGGGUUAAGUCCCGCAACGAGCGCAACCCUCAUCUUCAGUUGCCCCCGGGUCAGGCCGGGCACUCUGAAGAAACCGCCGGUGACAAGCCGGAGGAAGGCGGGGAUGACGUCAAGUCCUCAUGGCCCUUACGGACUGGGCUACACACGUACUACAAUGGUGGUGACAGUGGGCUGCGAAGGCGCAAGCCGGAGCCAAUCCCCAAAAACCAUCUCAGUUCAGAUUGCACUCUGCAACUCGAGUGCAUGAAGUUGGAAUCGCUAGUAAUCGCAGAUCAGCACGCUGCGGUGAAUACGUUCCCGGGCCUUGUACACACCGGCUAC